rnacentral:rRNA from 1 species
UCAAGGAAGUAAGGGCAUUUGGUGGAUGUCUUGGCAUCAGAAGGCGAUGAAGGACGUGGCCAGCUGCGAUAAUCCACGGGGAGGUGUAAGUAACCUUUGAUCCGUGGGAUUCCGAAUGGGGAAACCCACCCAGAGUAAUGUCUGGGUAUCUUAUACUGAAUACAUAGGUAUCUGAAGCGAACCCGGUGAAGUGAAAUAUCUCAGUAACCGGAGGAAUAUAAAUCAACCGAGAUUCCCUGAGUAGCGACGAGCGAACGGGGAUUAGCCCAAACCUGACUUUAGCACUAAGCGAUUAGCUCAUUUGAGCUGAUAUCUGAGUGCUAAGGUCAGGGGUUGUAGGACCGCAUGAGUAGGACUAUUAUAUGGUAGUCGAAUGAGUUGGAAAGCUCACCCAUAGAAGGUGAUAGGCCUGUAAACGAAACUGUAUAGUUACCGAAGCGGUAUCCUGAGUACCACGGGACACGAGAAAUCCCGUGGGAAUCUGGGGGGACCACCCUCCAAGGCUAAAUACUCUCUGAUGACCGAUAGUGAACAAGUACCGUGAGGGAAAGAUGAAAAGAACCCCGGUGAGGGGAGUGAAAUAGAACCUGAAACCAUUUGCCUACAAGCUGUGGGAGCCGGUCUUCGGACUGGUGACUGCGUGCCUUUUGAUUAAUGAGCCGGCGAGUUACUGAGUGUAGCGAGGUUAAGGCCAUAACGGCUGGAGCCGUAGGGAAACCGAGUCCGAAUAGGGCGAUUUAGUUGCACUUAGUAGACCCGAAGCCAGGUGAGCUACCCAUGGUCAGGGUGAAGUGCCGAGAAGUCGGCAUGGAGGCCCGAACCGUUGUCCGUUGCAAAGGGCUCGGAUGAACUGUGGGUCGGAGUGAAAGGCUAAUCAAACCUGGUGAUAGCUGGUUCUCCCCGAAAUGUAUUUAGGUACAGCCUUAUGUAUGCUUUUAGGAGGUAGGGCACUGAAUGGACUAGGGCUCUUCACGGGGUACCAAAUCCAAUCAAACCACGAAUGCCUAAAAGUUUAGCAUAGGAGUGAGACUGCGGGUGCUAAGAUUCGUAGUCGAGAGGGAAACAGCCCAGAACGUCAGCUAAGGUCCCCAAGAUAGAGCUAAGUGGGAAAGGAUGUAGGAUCGCACAAACAGCCAGGAGGUUGGCUUAGAAGCAGCCAUCCUUUAAAGAAAGCGUAAUAGCUCACUGGUCUAGUAAUCCUGCGCCGAAAAUUUAACGGGGCUUAAGCUCUACACCGAAGCUACGUAUUGUUCCGAUUUAUCGGAAUAGUGGUAGGGGAGCAUUCCACUGUUCGCUGAAGCUAUGGCGUAAGCCAUGGUGGAGAGUGUGGAAGAGAUUAUGUCGGCAUAAGUAGCACAAAAGUCUGUGAAAAACAGGCUCGCCGUAAACCUAAGGUUUCCUGGGGAAGGAUAUUCCGCCCAGGGUAAGUCGGUCCUAAGUCGAGGCCGAGAGGAGUAGACGAUGGACAACUGGUUAAAAUUCCAGUACCAUCUUUGAUGCGUUUGACCUACGGGGGGACGCAGAGGGAUAGGUUCAGCCGGGCGUUGGUUGUCCCGGUACAAGCCUGCAGGGUAGUGAUUAGGUAAAUCCGGUCACUAUAAGCCCGAAGGGUUACGUGGAUCCCGGGUAAUUCCGGGAGAACUGGCUGAUUCCGCACUGCCAAGAAAAACCUCUAUGGGAGUAUCAUGGAUGACCGUACCGCAAACCGACACAGGUAGGUGGGUAGAAGAUACCAAGGCGAACGAGUGAACCCUCGCAAAGGAACUCGGCAAAAUUGCCCCGUAACUUCGGGAGAAGGGGUACUUCUGCAAAGAAGUGACACUAAAGAGGCCCAAGCGACUGUUUAGCAAAAACACAGGAGCCUGCUAACUGGUAACAGGAUGUAUAGGCUCUGACGCCUGCCCGGUGCCGGAAGGUUAACAGGAGGGGUUAGGUCUUCGGACCGAAGCUCUGAAUCGAAGCCCCGGUAAACGGCGGCCGUAACUAUAACGGUCCUAAGGUAGCGAAAUUCCUUGUCGGGUAAGUUCCGACCUGCACGAAUGGCGUAACGACUUGGGCACUG